GAUCCUGGCUCAGGACGAACGCUGGCGGCGUGCUUAACACAUGCAAGUUGAACGAAGCAAUGCGAGUUAAAUUUUUCGGAAUGGGACAUGUAUUGACUUAGUGGCGGACGGGUGAGUAACGCGUGAGCAACCUGCCCAUAAGAGGGGGACAACAGUUGGAAACGACUGCUAAUACCGCAUAAGACCACGAUACCGCAUGGUAUAGGGGUCAAAGAUUUAUCGCUUAUGGAUGGGCUCGCGUCCCA
rnacentral:rRNA from 1 species